UGCAAAACCAUCUACCAUUCUUCCAUAGCUAUCUCACAUCACAGCAGCUACUAUCCCCGACGUUGAACCUUCAAUAAAGGAAGCAUCAAUAUUGAUGUUUAGGACUCCCUGUUGCGGAUUUCGCCAAAUUUGAGUCUUCGGAAUAUGAAAUUGUUCCUUGAUUUCCAAAUAAGCCAAAGGACAGUCGCAAGUAGCUCAAAAGUGAAGGAUUGGACCAGACUUGUUUCGUCCAUGGACAGAGGAGAAAAAGAUGCUCAAUAGUUUCGGGAUGUUGGUGACAUAGCUCACACAUCGGUUCUGGUACAAUACUUCUUCUGAAUAGAUUUACCUUUGUUGGUAAUGCAUUUUGACAUAUCGCCCAUAGGAAAAAUAUGAUCUUCGGUUCUGUGUUUGCCUUCCAAAUUUUUGUCCGCAAUGCUUCGGGGGUUUGAAAUGAAGAAGAAGCCUAAUUUGGGUUUGGUUUCAAUGCAAGGUCUCUAUUUCUAUUAUAGCCACUCUUGACUGUAUAGGAUCCUGAUUUGGUAUUUAACCAAACCAGUUUGUCUUCAGUGUCAUGUGACCUCAGUGGGAUUGCAAGAAUUUCAUCGAUAAUCUGUUCAUCAAAAAGCUGCUGUAGCAUCGAUUCAUUCCACUUCGACUCCUCCUACAAAA